rnacentral:rRNA from 1 species
GAGUUUGAUCGUGGCUCAGAUUGAACGCUGGCGGCAUGCCUUACACAUGCAAGUCGAACGGCAGCACGGGAGCUUGCUCCUGGUGGCGAGUGGCGAACGGGUGGGUAAUGCAUCGGAACGUAUCCUGGAGUGGGGGAUAACGUAGCGAAAGUUACGCUAAUACCGCAUAUUCUGUGAGCAGGAAAGCGGGGGACCUUCGGGCCUCGCGCUCUUGGAGCGGCCGAUGUCGGAUUAGCUAGUUGGUGAGGUAAAGGCUCACCAAGGCGACGAUCCGUAGCAGGUCUGAGAGGAUGAUCUGCCACACUGGAACUGAGACACGGUCCAGACUCCUACGGGAGGCAGCAGUGGGGAAUUUUGGGCAAUGGGGGCAACCCUGAUCCAGCCAUGCCGCGUGAGUGAAGAAGGCCUCGGUUGUAAGUAC